rnacentral:rRNA from 1 species
UGUUUCGGCAAGGGGGUCAUCCCGACUUACCAACCCGAUGCAAACUGCGAAUACCGGAGAAUGUUAUCACGGGAGACACACGGCGGGUGCUAACGUCCGUCGUGAAGAGGGAAACAACCCAGACCGCCAGCUAAGGUCCCAAAGUCAUGGUUAAGUGGGAAACGAUGUGGGAAGGCCCAGACAGCCAGGAUGUUGGCUUAGAAGCAGCCAUCAUUUAAAGAAAGCGUAAUAGCUCACUGGUCGAGUCGGCCUGCGCGGAAGAUGUAACGGGGCUAAACCAUGCACCGAAGCUGCGGCAGCGACGCUUAUGCGUUGUUGGGUAGGGGAGCGUUCUGUAAGCCUGUGAAGGUGUGCUGUGAGGCAUGCUGGAGGUAUCAGAAGUGCGAAUGCUGACAUAAGUAACGAUAAAGCGGGUGAAAAGCCCGCUCGCCGGAAGACCAAGGGUUCCUGUCCAACGUUAAUCGGGGCAGGGUGAGUCGACCCCUAAGGCGAGGCCGAAAGGCGUAGUCGAUGGGAAACAGGUUAAUAUUCCUGUACUUGGUGUUACUGCGAAGGGGGGACGGAGAAGGCUAUGUUGGCCGGGCGACGGUUGUCCCGGUUUAAGCGUGUAGGCUGGUUUUCCAGGCAAAUCCGGAAAAUCAAGGCUGAGGCGUGAUGACGAGGCACUACGGUGCUGAAGCAACAAAUGCCCUGCUUCCAGGAAAAGCCUCUAAGCAUCAGGUAACAUCAAAUCGUACCCCAAACCGACACAGGUGGUCAGGUAGAGAAUACCAAGGCGCUUGAGAGAACUCGGGUGAAGGAACUAGGCAAAAUGGUGCCGUAACUUCGGGAGAAGGCACGCUGAUAUGUAGGUGAAGUCCCUCGCGGAUGGAGCUGAAAUCAGUCGAAGAUACCAGCUGGCUGCAACUGUUUAUUAAAAACACAGCACUGUGCAAACACGAAAGUGGACGUAUACGGUGUGACGCCUGCCCGGUGCCGGAAGGUUAAUUGAUGGGGUCAGCGCAAGCGAAGCUCUUGAUCGAAGCCCCGGUAAACGGCGGCCGUAACUAUAACGGUCCUAAGGUAGCGAAAUUCCUUGUCGGGUAAGUUCCGACCUGCACGAAUGGCGUAAUGAUGGCCAGGCUGUCUCCACCCGAGACUCAGUGAAAUUGAACUCGCUGUGAAGAUGCAGUGUACCCGCGGCAAGACGGAAAGACCCCGUGAACCUUUACUAUAGCUUGACACUGAACAUUGAGCCUUGAUGUGUAGGAUAGGUGGGAGGCUUAGAAGUGUGGACGCCAGUCUGCAUGGAGCCGACCUUGAAAUACCACCCUUUAAUGUUUGAUGUUCUAACG